rnacentral:rRNA from 1 species
AUACGGAGGGUGCAAGCGUUAUUCGGAAUCACUGGGCGUAAAGGGUGCGUAGGCGGUUUGAUAAGUCUGAUGUGAAAUCCUAUGGCUCAACCAUAGAACUGCAUUGGAAACUGUCAGACUAGAAUACUGAAGGGGCAGAUGGAAUUAGUGGUGUAGGGGUAAAAUCCGUAGAUAUCACUAGGAAUACCGAAAGCGAAAGCGAUCUGCUGGGAAGUUAUUGACGCUGAGGCACGAAAGCGUAGGGAGCAAACGGGAUUAGAAACCCCAGUAGUCC